rnacentral:rRNA from 1 species
AGAGUUUGAUCCUGGCUCAGAAUCAACGCUGGCGGCGUGCCUAACACAUGCAAGUCGAACGAGAAAGUGGAGCAAUCCAUGAGUAAAGUGGCGACCGGGUGAGUAACACGUGACUAACCUACCCUCGAGUGGGGAAUAACUCCGGGAAACCGGAGCUAAUACCGCAUAACAUCUUCGGAACGCGAGUUCUGUUGAUCAAAGGAGCAAUUCGCUUGAGGAGGGAGUCGCGGCUGAUUAGCUUGUUGGCGGGGUAAUGGCCCACCAAGGCUUAGAUCGGUAGCCGGCCUGAGAGGGCGCACGGCCACACUGGAACUGAAACACGGUCCAGACUCCUACGGGAGGCAGCAGUGGGGAAUUUUGCGCAAUGGGGGAAACCCUGACGCAGCAACGCCGCGUGGAGGAUGAAGUCCCUUGGGAUGUAAACUCCUUUCGACCGGGAAGAUACUGACGGUACCGGUAGAAGAAGCACCGGCUAACUCUGUGCCAGCAGCCGCGGUAAUACAGAGGGUGCGAGCGUUGUUCGGAAUUAUUGGGCGUAAAGGGCGCGUAGGCGGCGCGGUAAGUCACCUGUGAAAUCUCCCGGCUCAACUGGGAGCUUGCAGGCGAAACUGCCGUGCUGGAGUAUGGGAGAGGUGCGUGGAAUUCCUGGUGUAGCGGUGAAAUGCGUAGAUAUCAGGAGGAACACCUGUGGCGAAAGCGGCGCACUGGACCAUAACUGACGCUGAGGCGCGAAAGCUAGGGGAGCAAACAGGAUUAGAUACCCUAGUAGUCC